rnacentral:rRNA from 1 species
GACGAACGCUGGCGGCAUGCCUAACACAUGCAAGUCUAGGGGUAGCAAUACCACUGGCGCACGGGUGAGUAACACGUAGGUUAUCUGCCCCCAUCACAGACAUAACCCCGGGAAACCGGGGCUAAUAUCUGAUGAGGUCGCGAGAUCAAAGCUUCGGCGGAUGGGGAUGAGCCUGCGGCUGAUUAGCUAGUUGGUGAGGUAAUGGCUCACCAAGGCGACGAUCAGUAGCUGGUCUGAGAGGACGAACAGCCACACUGGAACUGAGACACGGUCCAGACUCCUACGGGAGGCAGUAGUGAGGAAUAUUGGUCAAUGGGAGCAAUCCUGAACCAGCAAUGCCGCGUGUGGGAUGACAGGGCUUCGCCUUGUAAACCACUGUCGGACGGGACGAAAGGAGGCCUCGGGCCUCUGGGACGGUACCGUCAAAGGAAGGGUCGGCUAACUACGUGCCAGCAGCCGCGG